CAGUAACGCGUAGUCAAUCUACCCUAUGGACGGGAAUAACCUCGGGAAACUGAGAAUAAUGCCCGAUAGAACAUUAUGCCUGGAAUGGUUUAUGUUUCAAAUGAUUUAUCGCCAUAGGAUGGGACUGCGGCCUAUCAGUUUGUUGGUGAGGUAAUGGCCCACCAAGACUAUUACAGGUACGGGCUCUGAGAGGAGUAGCCCGGAGAUGGGUACUGAGACACGGACCCAGGCCCUAUGGGGCGCAGCAGGCGAGAAAACUUUGCAAUGUGCGAAAGCACGACAAGGUUAAUCCGAGUGGUUUCUGCUAAAGAAACCUUUUGUCAGUCCUAGAAACACUAACGAAUAAGGGGUGGGCAAGUUCUGGUGUCAGCCGCCGCGGUAAAACCAGCACCUCAAGUGGUCAGGAUGAUUAUUGGGCCUAAAGCAUCCGUAGCUCGUUUUGUAAGUUUUCGGUUAAAUCCAUGCGCUUAACGUAUGGGCUGCCGGGAAUACUGCAUAACUAGGAAGUGGGAGAGGUAGACGGUACUCGGGAGGAAGGGGUAAAAUCCUUUGAUCUCUUGAUGACCACCUGUGGCGAAGGCGGUCUACCAGAACACGUUCGACGGUGAGGGAUGAAAGCUGGGGGAGCAAACCGGAUUAGAUACCCGGGUAGUCCCAGCUGUAAACUAUGCAAACUCAGUGAUGCAUUGGCUUAUGGCCAAUGCAGUGCUGCAGGGAAGCCGUUAAGUUUGCCGCCUGGGAAGUACGUACGCAAGUAUGAAACUUAAAGGAAUUGGCGGGGGAGCACCACAAGGGGUGAAGCCUGCGGUUCAAUUGGAGUCAACGCCGGAAA
rnacentral:rRNA from 1 species